GGACCGUUAGCUCAGUUGGUAGAGCAGCUGACUCUUAAUCAGCGGGUCGGAGGUUCGAAUCCUCCACGGUUCACCA
rnacentral:tRNA from 1 species